rnacentral:lncRNA from 1 species
GUCAAGCACAGAAAAAACACUUGCUAACCUAGGCUCCAUUGCCUUAAACUUUUGUCACCAGUCAAGCACAGAAAAAACACUUGCUAACCUAGGCUCCAUUGCCUUAAACUUUGUUCAUCAGUUAAGACAAGAGUUAAGUCCAUCUAGUGGAGAGAAAGAAGGAUGGGAAAAGUUUCUUAGGCGUGAAUGUCAAAACAAAAUUAUGUCAUCAAGGCUCCUGGUGUAGUUUCCUUUUGUGGGAUGAUUUUAAUCUGGUUUUGGAAGAAUAUGUUUCUGGGGUGAUGGCUUUUAGAGAAUAUGUGACCUGUGGCUACCAGGUAAUCUUCUUACACACAGAGAGUGCUGUCUUGGGUGGUAUAAAAAGGCUGAGAGAAACAAACAAACAAACAAACAAACAAAACAAACAAACAAACAAUGUUCUUGGCGCCAGCACGUUUCCAUCCACCAAAUGUGCACAUGUGGAGAUGUGGAUAUGGAGAUGGUUCAGCAACCCUCGCUCGGUCAAAGGGAGUGCUUCCCCUUCCCCAAUAAGUGAAACUUUAUUCCCUUAGAGAAAAGUGGCUUGGCCAUUCUACCAACUACCUGUAGCUGAUGUGACAAUGGUUCAAGGCAAGGCAGCCA